rnacentral:lncRNA from 10 species
CGUCUGUGUAGGUGUGUGUGUGUGUACAUAUAUACAUGCACACACACUUCAUAUUGAUCUUUUUUUCCUAUUUAUCUAUCUUGCCCAGGCUGGAGUGUAAAGGCGCGAUCUCGGCUCACCGCAACCUCUGCCUCCCAGGUUCAAGCAAUUCUCCUGCCUCAGCCUCCCGAGUAGGUGGGAUUACAGGCCUGCACCACCACGCCCGGCUAAUUUUGUAUUUUUAGUAGAGACGGGGUUUCUCCAUGUUGAGGCUGGUCUUGAACUCCUGACCUCAGGUGAUCUGCCCCCCUCGGCCUCCCAAAGUGCUGGGAUUACAGGCGUGAGCCACCGCGCCUGGCCAGCAUGGAGUCUUGAUCAGAUAUUUAUUAUUCC